rnacentral:rRNA from 1 species
UUUAGCGGCGGACGGGUGAGUAACACGUGGGCAACCUACCUUGUAGAUUGGGAUAACUCCGGGAAACCGGGGCUAAUACCAAAUAAUCCAUUUUGCUUCAUGGCGAAAUGUUAAAAGGCGGCUUCGGCUGUCACUACGAGAUGGGCCCGCGGCGCAUUAGCUAGUUGGUAGGGUAACGGCCUACCAAGGCGACGAUGCGUAGCCGACCUGAGAGGGUGAUCGGCCACACUGGGACUGAGACACGGCCCAGACUCCUACGGGAGGCAGCAGUAGGGAAUCUUCCACAAUGGACGAAAGUCUGAUGGAGCAACGCCGCGUGAGUGAAGAAGGUUUUCGGAUCGUAAAACUCUGUUGUAAGGGAAGAACACGUACGAGAGUAACUGCUCGUACCUUGACGGUACCUUAUUAGAAAGCCACGGCUAACUACGUGCCAGCAGCCGCGGUAAUACGUAGGUGGCAAGCGUUGUCCGGAAUUAUUGGGCGUAAAGCGCGCGCAGGCGGUCCUUUAAGUCUGAUGUGAAAGCCCACGGCUCAACCGUGGAGGGUCAUUGGAAACUGGGGGACUUGAGUACAGAAGAGGAAAGCGGAAUUCCAAGUGUAGCGGUGAAAUGCGUAGAGAUUUGGAGGAACACCAGUGGCGAAGGCGGCUUUCUGGUCUGUAACUGACGCUGAGGCGCGAAAGCGUGGGGAGCAAACAGGAUU